UACGAAGGGGGCUAGCGUUGCUCGGAAUCACUGGGCGUAAAGCGCACGUAGGCGGCUUUCUAAGUCAGGGGUGAAAUCCUGGAGCUCAACUCCAGAACUGCCUUUGAUACUGGAGAGCUCGAGUCCGGAAGAGGUGAGUGGAACUGCGAGUGUAGAGGUGAAAUUCGUAGAUAUUCGCAAGAACACCAGUGGCGAAGGCGGCUCACUGGACUGGUAUUGACGCUGAUGUGCGAAAGCGUGGGGAGCAAACAGGG
rnacentral:rRNA from 1 species